CAUUUAUGAUGACUUGCCAUGCUAAUACUGAGGGAACUUGUAGUUUUCUGUGAGUUAAAACUUCUCAUGAUUCUGAAAUGA